AACGAACGCUGGCGGCAUGCCUAACACAUGCAAGUCGAACGAAGGCUUCGGCCUUAGUGGCGCACGGGUGCGUAACGCGUGGGAAUCUACCCUUAGGUACGGAAUAACUCAGGGAUACUUGUGCUAAUACCGUAUAAUGUCUUCGGACCAAAGAUUUAUCGCCUUGGGAUGGGCCCGCGUUGGAUUAGCUUGUUGGUGGGGUAAUGGCCUACCAAGGCGACGAUCCAUAGCUGGUCUGAGAGGAUGAUCAGCCACACUGGGACUGAGACACGACCCAGACUCCUACGGGAGGCAGCAGUGGGGAAUAUUGGACAAUGGCGAAAGCCUGAUCCAGCAAUGCCGCGUGAGUGAUGAAGGCCUUAGGGUUGUAAAGCUCUUUUACCCGGGAUGAUAAUGACAGUACCGGGAGAAUAAGCUCCGGCUAACUCAGUGCCAGCAGCCGCCGUAACAC
rnacentral:rRNA from 1 species